rnacentral:tRNA from 1 species
UCCCUGGCAGUCCAGUGGUUAAGACUCUGUGCUUCCAAUGCAGGGUGUUCAGGUUCAAUCCCUGGUCAAGGAA